GGGAGAUGGAAGUUGGAUCAUUCUGGUUUUCGCUGUUGUCUUGUUUUUUAUUAUGUACAUAUGGAACUAUGGGAGCAAGCUGAAGUAUGAAACUGAAGUCAAGCAAAAGAUGUCUAUGGAUUUGCUACGUGAACUAGGCCCAAACCUUGGAACAAUCAGAGCACCUGGAAUUGGCUUGCUUUAUAAUGAACUGGCAAAGGGCAUACCAGCUAUAUUUGGACAUUUUCU
rnacentral:misc_RNA from 1 species